CACAUACUUCCUCCGUUCGGAAUUACUUGUCUCAGAAAUGGAUAUAUCUAGAACUAAAAUACAUCUAGAUACAUCCAUUUCUACGACAAGUAAUUCCGAACGGAGGGAGUAUCUC
rnacentral:pre_miRNA from 1 species